rnacentral:rRNA from 1 species
CAAUAGCGUAUACUAAUGUUGUUGCAGUUAAAAAGCUCGUAGUUGAACUUCUGGUAGGAGUGUCCCGGCCUUUUUGUUUUUACAAAUUGUAUGCUGUGUGACAUCUCUGGCCAUCCUUCUUCUUUGUUUAAAGAAGAUCUUUCACUGUAAAAAAUUAGGGUGUUCAAAGCAAAAGUUUCUUUGGAAUAUAUUAGUAUGGGAUGAUAAGAUAGGCUCUAGAUGCUAUUUUGUUGGUUUGCACAUUUAGAGAAUGAUUAACAGGGACAGUUGGGGGUAUUCGUAUUUACAUGUCAGAGGUGAAAUUCUUGGAUUUUGGAAAGACGAACUACUGCGAAAGCAUUUACCAAGGAUGUUUUCAUUAA